ensembl:misc_RNA Metazoa_SRP Metazoan signal recognition particle RNA
GCUGGGCAUGGUGGCGUGUGCCUGUAAUCCCAGCUACUUGGGAGGCUGAGGCAGGAGAAUCGCUUGAACCUGGGAGGCAGAGGUUGCAGUGAGCCGAGGUCAUGCCACUGCACUCCAGCCUAGGCAACAGAGUGAGACUCUGUCUCAA